AACGGCCGUACCAUGCUGAAUAUACCGGUUCUCGUUAGAUCACCAAAGUUAAGCAUCAUUGGGCGCGGUCAGUACUUGGGUGGGUGACCACCUGGGAACACCGCGUGCCGUU
rnacentral:rRNA from 1 species